GUAUAUAUAGUUUAAUAGGUUAGAACAUUUAUCUUCCAAAUAGAAUGUUGUGAGUUCGAUUCUCAUUAUAUACA
rnacentral:tRNA from 1 species